rnacentral:rRNA from 1 species
AGUUGGUGGAGUGAUUUGUCUGCUUAAUUGCGUUAACGAACGAGACCUUAACCUGCUAAAUAGUGACGCGAAUCCUGUCCGCUCAAGGCGCGCGGCCACGCGGACCGCUCCUCGGAGCCCCGCCGACGCCGACGUCUGGUUGGAUUCGCGGCGCACUUCUUAGAGGGACUAUUGGUUUCUAGCCAAUGGAAGUUUGAGGCAAUAACAGGU